UGGGGAAUCUUGCACAAUGGGCGAAAGCCUGAUGCAGCGACGCCGCGUGCGGGAUGAAGGCCUUCGGGUUGUAAACCGCUUUCAGCAGGGACGAGGCCGCAAGGUGAUGGUACCUGCAGAAGAAGCCCCGGCUAACUACGUGCCAGCAGCCGCGGUAAUACGUAGGGGGCAAGCGUUAUCCGGAUUCAUUGGGCGUAAAGCGCGCGUAGGCGGUUUGUUAGGUCAGGAGUUAAAUCUGGGGGCUCAACCCCUAUCCGCUCCUGAUACCGGCAGGCUUGAGUCUGGUAGGGGAAGGCGGAAUUCCAAGUGUAGCGGUGAAAUGCGCAGAUAUUUGGAAGAACACCGGUGGCGAAGGCGGCCUUCUGGGCCACGACUGACGCUGAGGCGCGAAAGCUAGGGGAGCGAACAGG
rnacentral:rRNA from 1 species